GAACAUACAUCUUGUAUGUAUGUUGUUACAGGGUGGUUAACUUCGCCAGCGGCCCCCUUUCCCGGGGCAGUCCCUGCUCUCCCCUGCUAGAGGGGCACCCUAAUCCGUCACCCCAUCCGACUUCAGAAUGUAUUCGUUGGGUUCGGCAACUCACCACCAGCAUCCAACCAAAUCUAGCGGAUCAACGGCGCAUCAACUUAGUUCCUGGUCAGCUCGCAAGUUGAUAUUAUCACGUCCUACACCGUCCAUAAGAUGGGGGGCCACCUCCCAUUUCAUCACUCCUCAAACACCCGAGGAGCCGGCAGGCGGAUUUGAACCCGGGUCGACUGGGUCGACUGGGAGCAGAAGUCAGGCCUUAACCUCUGCCAGCCGCCUGCAUCUUGUAUGUAUGUUGUUACAGGGUGGUUUUUACAGGGUGGUAUUAUCACGUCCUACACCGUCCAUAUGAUGGGGGGCCACCUCCCAUUUCAUCACUCCUCANACACCCGAGGAGCCGGCAGGCGGAUUUGAACCCGGG
rnacentral:lncRNA from 1 species